UGGGUUGUAGUUCUACAUUAGGGAAAAAAUAAUUAAAGUCAUUUAAGUUUGAAAUGCUAGUAAUAAACACUUCUUGCAAAAGAUUUGCACCGGCUUAAAUAUGGUUAAGGUGAAGGGCCAUAUGUUUGGUGGCAAGCCCCCUAGAGAGGCAUAUUAUUUUGUGAUACUAAUAUUAUUUUCCUACUUUAGGUUUAAGAUUUC
rnacentral:lncRNA from 1 species